rnacentral:misc_RNA from 1 species
GAAAUGCGAUAAGUAGUGUGAAUUGCAGAAUUCAGUGAAUCAUCGAAUCUUUGAACGCACAUUGCGCCCCUUGGUAUUCCAUGGGGCAUGCCUGUUCGAGCGUCAUCUACACACUCAAGCUCUGCUUGGUGUUGGGCGUCUUUGUCCCGCCUCCGCGCGCGGACUCGCCCCAAAUUCAUUGGCAGCGGUCCUUGCCUCCUCUCGCGCAGCACAUUGCGCUUCUCGAGGUGUUGCGGCCCGCGUCCAGAAAGCAAUCGUUACCGUCUUUGACCUCGGAUCAGGUAGGGAUACCCGCUGAACUUAAGC